UACAGAGGUCUCGAGCGUUAGGCGGAAUCACUGGGCUUAAAGCGUGUGUAGGUGGAUGCCUAAGUACCUUGUGAAAUCCCACAGCUUAACUGUGGAACUGCUUGGUAUACUGGGUGUCUUGAGUCACUCAGGGGCGAGCGGAACAAAUGGUGGAGCGGUGAAAUGCGUAGAUAUCAGGAGGAACACCGGUGGCGAAGGCGGGUCUCUGGGCCGAUACUGACGCUGAGGAGCGAAAGCGUGGGGAGCGAACAGG
rnacentral:rRNA from 1 species